GACCGGAGCGAGAUGGCGGUGGCACCGUCCGGCCGGCGCCGUGCCCUGACAGGGACCCGCGAUCGCUCCCUCCUCCGGGCUCCAGGCGGCGGCUGCGAGCCCCGGUGCGGCGGCGAGGGGGGGCGGCUGCCGCAGCGCCGCUCGGGCGGGGGGCGGGCGAGAAAUGCCGAAGCUGCGUGGGGAGGCCUUCUGGAGGGAGACGCUGCGGAGCGCCCACUACGUGGUGGCGCCCAUGGUUGACCAGAGCGAGCUGGCCUGGAGGCUGCUGAGCCGCCGCCACGGCGCCCAGCUCUGCUACACGCCGAUGCUGCACGCCCAGGUCUUCCUCAGGGACGCUAACUACCGCCGCGAGAACCUCUACGACGAGGCUUGUCCCGAGGACCGUCCGCUUAUCGUGCAGUUCUGUGCCAAUGACCCUGAAGUGUUUGUCCAAGCAGCACUGUUGGCUCAGGAUUAUUGCGAUGCCAUAGACCUAAAUUUGGGUUGCCCCCAAAUGAUUGCAAAGAGAGGUCACUACGGAGCAUUUCUGCAAGAGGAAUGGGAUCUUCUUCAGAGAAUGAUUUUACUGGCAAAUGAGAAGCUCUCUGUUCCCAUCACAUGUAAAAUCCGCGUUUUCCCAGAAAUUGACAAGACAGUGAAGUAUGCACAGAUGCUGGAGAAGGCUGGAUGCCAGCUGCUGACUGUGCAUGGCCGUACUAAAGAACAGAAGGGACCGCUUGCUGGCGUGGCGUCCUGGGAGCACAUUCAGGCUGUCAGAAAAGCUGUAAGCAUUCCUGUAUUUGCAAAUGGAAACAUCCAGUGUCUCAGUGAUGUUGAAGAAUGUAUCCGUAAAACAGGAGUGCAUGGUGUCAUGAGUGCAGAAGGUAAUCUCCAUAACCCAGCUUUGUUUGAGGGCCGAAACCCAUUGGUGUGGGAGAUGGCUGAGGAGUAUCUGGAGAUAGUGCAGAAGUACCCUUGUCCAUUGUCUUAUGUUAGGGCUCAUCUCUUCAAGCUCUGGCAUCACACGCUUCAAGUUUACCAGCAACUGCGUGAAGAAUUAGCAAAAGUGAAGACUCUAGAGGGCAUUGUAGAUGUCAACAGGGAGCUGAAACUACGAUGCCAGGAAGAAAUAGCUAAUCAGAAAGAAGGAGAAAAGCCAAAAGAAGGGUUGCCUUUCUUCCACUGGAUCUGUCAGCCAUACAUCAGGCCUGGGCCAAAGGAGAGAUGCAAGGAGAAUGGAGCCAGUGAAAAAGGUGUGCGAGGAAAACGUGCUUUGGAAGAGGAGGAAGAUGGAAAUGCUGAGCUUCUGUCAAAGAAUAAACAAAAAAAGAAGUUGAGAAAUCCAAAUAAAAGCUUUGAUCCAUCUUUAAAACCCAAAUAUGCAAAAUGUGAUCAAUGUGGAAACCCUAAGGGCAAUAAAUGUGUGUUUAACAUGUGCCGAGGCUGCUGUAAGAAAAGUGCAUUCAAAGCAACAGCAGACUGCCCAGGUCAUGGAUUACUUUUUAAGACCAAAUAUGAAAAAUCCCUUUCAUGGCAGAGUAGUCAAAGAGUAAUUCAAAACCCAGAGGUCAGUCGGAGAGGAGAUGUAGAUGUGGGGGAGACUGCUGUACUGAACGAGGCUGGUGACAGUGCUGUGUUGAAGCUUUGACAAUGCCCACUUAAAGAACUCUGCCAGACCUCUGCUUCCCUGGGCCAAGGAACAUGCCGUUUCCAGCUCACCGUCAGCUGUGCGAACUUGUUCCUCAGAUUUAUUUUAAGUUGGUGUGUAACAAUUCCCCAACAGCUCCUGCAGCUUUUACUGGCCAGUGACAAGAAAUUAUCCUGUGGUUGAGUUCUCAGUCUUGCAAGCACAUAUAGCAAGCAAAAGGCCAACACAGUGGACCACUGUACAGUAUGUAGUAAUGCAUUCUGAGUGCAUACUCUGUAUUACCACUUUCUGGUCUACAGUUUGAGGGUUUGGCUGGGUGAGGGGGCCAUUUGUAUUCUUAUAUUCUUGUGUUCAGCCUGUGCCACAGGUUGGAGCUGACUUAGGUGUGUACCUUCCACAAAUUCAAAAUAAAAAUAGGUAAUUUAGCAGAGGUAGAGCUGUUUUGAACACAGCUGGAAGGACAGAAGCCAGGAGGGAAACUUCUAUGGUUUCCUUCCUUGAUGCUUCAUCUGCCUGGCACUUGUUUUUCUAGAAUCUCAACUGCAGAGAUUUUCCCUCUGCCUGUCAGAAUCUGUCAGAUAUUCCCCUUUGGAAGUUAUGUUGGAUCUGAAAGGAAAUGCACUGGAAACCCAGUGCCCAGAAUACCAGGUCUGCAUUACUGAACAGUAAUAGUCCAAAAACCCAAAGUGCCUCUAAGGUCAGGAGCCAAAGGCAGCACCAGGCCUCUGUGACCCCAAGGCGAGCCCUUCCCUGCCUCUGCAACAGAGGAGGCAAGCCUGGUAUUUUUUUAAUGCCAGAAACACUUGGAGGCCUCAGGAGCUGAAGCGAGGCCCUGUCUGGGCUAAAACCCAUUCUGAACACGUUUUUUUUUGACUUUGCAAUGACCCUUCACUGCUUAUGCACACAUGCACCUGUACGUGUUCAGGCAUGCACGUGUACAUCCCCCCUCGAGCCCUGCAAGCUCAGUUUGUAUUUCCUGACCUGCAUUACAAACUAUGUUAGUUUACAGUCAUGAGUUGAUACAUGGACAGUGUGCUGAAAAUUGAACUAGCAGUUCAGUACUACCCUGAACUCUAGUAUCUGUAAAACUUAGUCCAUGGAGAAACAUUCUCAUUCAAAACAUUAACAAGAGAGUCCAUAAGCAAGAUUAACAGAUCCCUAAACAGAGACCACAUGUGAAGCAGAGGCCUUGGCCUACCCUUGUGUCAACCACCCUUACGUUCACUUGCAUCUAUGCUGUGUUCAUACAUGAAACAUACUAUUUCUUAAGGCACCUUCCCUAUCACACAAGCAUGUGCAUCUUGAUCUCUAGACAUUUGCCUACAUCUAGCUUGCUUUUAUCUAGCUCAUCCCAUGCACCAAGUCCUCUAGAGGGACCACAAGAGCUAAGAACUUCAAACCCAUUUUGGAGUCUGGACUUAAAUGCUGGCUAACCUUUAGUUGUGGCUUUCUAUAGAUUAUGACAAUAAAAGUAGUUCAAACUCUC